CUACGGGAGGCAGCAGUGGGGAAUAUUGCACAAUGGGCGCAAGCCUGAUGCAGCGACGCCGCGUGCGGGAUGGAGGCCUUCGGGUUGUAAACCGCUUUUGAUCGGGAGCAAGCCCUUCGGGGUGAGUGUACCUUUCGAAUAAGCACCGGCUAACUACGUGCCAGCAGCCGCGGUAAUACGUAGGGUGCAAGCGUUAUCCGGAAUUAUUGGGCGUAAAGGGCUCGUAGGCGGUUCGUCGCGUCCGGUGUGAAAGCCCAUCGCUUAACGGUGGGUCUGCGCCGGGUACGGGCGGGCUGGAGUGCGGUAGGGGAGACUGGAAUUCCCGGUGUAACGGUGGAAUGUGUAGAUAUCGGGAAGAACACCAAUGGCGAAGGCAGGUCUCUGGGCCGUCACUGACGCUGAGGAGCGAAAGCGUGGGGAGCGAACAGGAUUAGAUACCCUGGUAGUCCACGCCGUAAACGGUGGAUGCUGGAUGUGGGGCCCGUUCCACGGGUUCCGUGUCGGAGCUAACGCGUUAAGCAUCCCGCCUGGGGAGUACGGCCGCAAGGCUAAAACUCAAAGAAAUUGACGGGGGCCCGCACAAGCGGCGGAGCAUGCGGAUUAAUUCGAUGCAACGCGAAGAACCUUACCUGGGCUUGACAUGUUCCCGACCGAUCCGGAGACGGGUCUUCCCUUCGGGGCGGGUUCACAGGUGGUGCAUGGUCGUCGUCAGCUCGUGUCGUGAGAUGUUGGGUUAAGUCCCGCAACGAGCGCAACCCUCGCCCUGUGUUGCCAGCACGUCAUGGUGGGAACUCACGGGGGACCGCCGGGGUCAACUCGGAGGAAGGUGGGGAUGACGUCAGAUCAUCAUGCCCCUUACGUCCAGGGCUUCACGCAUGCUACAAUGGCCGGUACAGCGGGAUGCGACAUGGCGACAUGGAGCGGAUCCCUGAAAACCGGUCUCAGUUCGGAUUGGAGUCUGCAACCCGACUCCAUGAAGGCGGAGUCGCUAGUAAUCGCGGAUCAGCAACGCCGCGGUGAAUGCGUUCCCGGGCCUUGUACACACCGCCCGUCAAGUCAUGAAAGUGGGCAGCACCCGAAGCCGGUGGCCUAACCCCUUGUGGGAUGGAGCCGUCUAAGGUGAGGCUCGUGAUUGGGACUAAGUCGUAACAAGGUAGCCGUACCGGAAGGUGCGGCUG
rnacentral:rRNA from 1 species